AAGGUUUCCGCUUCUAAUGAAACUUCUUUGAGUGUUUAGAAAGUCGAUGUCUGCUCAAAAGUGCUGAAAAACUCCAUCGUGACUCUUAUCGUCAUAUUGCACAGCUAAGCCCCCCUGUCUCUCUCUCUCUCUUUCUCUCUGUCUGUCUCUCCAUCUCCCUGCCGGCUUUGUAGUGUGGAUGCAGACGUAAUCCUCAAACACACUCAAAUUCCUCCAGAAAGACUCUUGAUCCUGAAGCCACUCGCUUUUCCUUUAAACAGCUCGGCUCUGAAGCUCCGCCAUAUUUCCGAAGCGUUUAUGAUCGAAAGCUUCUACAAGCGGGUCGUCCACCCCUCCUGUCUCCCAAAGCCGGGCCGGAUCUGCGGAAAAGGUGGGAGCUCUCAUUAAAAGCCGGGUCCCGCCUCCUCCUUGCUCGACUUUAAAGUUUGUUACACUGGUGCCGAAACCCGGGAAGGAGGAGGAACGCGUUGUAAGAAAGCUCUUUCCACUGUGGAAGGAUUGAAACACUGAGGAGGCAGUGGUGCUGGAGUGGUUGCUGAGGAGGAGUCGAUGCCGUCUGCGGGGACGCGGAGGAACCCCCUACUGUCCGCCUGAAAGGGGAGGAGUGGUUGCUGUCUGCCAGGGGAUGGAGGACCCGCUGCUGUCCCCCGGGGAAGCGGAGAUGUGGCUGCCGUCUUCCUGAAAAGGGGAGGAGCCAUAGCCGUCCAUCAGGGAGGUGGAGGUGUGGCUGCCAUCCCCCAGAAUAGGGGAGGAACCGCGGCCUCCCGCUUGUAAGUCCAGUGCCAUCACCUGGCAUCGUGGGGGACUGAGAACAGGAAUGUUUUUCUCUCUCUCUCCUCUCUUUCUCUCUGGCUCUCUCUCUCUGGCUUGCUUCUUAUCUCUCCCCUCUUACCCCUCUUCGUCUCUCCUCUCAUUUGCAGGCAAAGGGGCCGGCCGUUCAAAAGACGUAGCCGAGAGGGCAACACCGCCCUCCUGAAAGGGUGGGAGGGGGUGUGCGUCAGGCCGGGCGCAUAAAUCUGGUGGUGGAGGAGUGUGAUGAGGAGGAGGGAGAAACCAUGUUAUGAGGAUGCAUACCUGGCACUGAUUUGGCUAAUCGGUCCGAGAGAGAGAUAAAGGAGCGGCUGGAAGCGCCGGUGAGAGAGAGAGAGAGAGAGAGAGAGAGAGAGAGAGAGAGAUGCAUGUGCAUUUUGUGUUCUGUUUGUGUUUCUGUUAUGUUUGAGUUCUGUUUAGGAUUAACGUUUAUGUUUAUGUUCAGCUGGUCCGUGCCUCCUCCUUGCCCGGCUCUAAAGUGUAUUACACACCCCUAGUAAGAAAAGCUAACAGGAACACAGGUUUCAAAUACAAUGUAUCUAGUCCACUAACGCCAACCCUUGUUUUAAGUCUCUUGCAGAACGGGACAUGUUUUCUUAUAGAAUUACCCUGUAUGUGGCAUCCAUAUUGCCCUCAUAGUUUACCAGUUUGCCCUGCUGAUAAAAAAGCAUCCCCACAACAUGAUGAUACCACCACCAUGCUUCACUGGGGAUGGUGUUCUCAUGGUGAUGAUUGGUCUUGGGUUUCCCCCAAACCUAACACUUUGUGCCAAAGAUAAAAAUGUUCAAUUUUCCAAUUAUUUCCUGAAUUUAAAAUGCCCAGUGGCUUUCUUCCCACCACUCUUCCAUAGCUUUGUGGCGUGUCUGUGGCCUGGGUUACAGUUAUCCUCUGAACAGCUUCUCCCAUCUUAACUGUGAAUCUCUCCAGUUCCUUCAGAGUUACCCUGCUUGCUUCUCUGAACAAUUUAAGAUCUUCUAUGUGCAGGUGUGUCAAAACUAUUGCGUGUUACUGUCCAAAUCUUGGCAUUAUGCACAGUGUGACAUUCAUUAGUAAAUCACGGUCUUCUUCAGACAACUAAUAAUGUUACAUUUGCUUCUUAUUUUUGUUAAUUACUACAUUGAGUGAUCAUGUCUGGUCAGAGAAACAAGCUUGGGUAUUUGGGGGAAUGGAGUUUUUAGUACCAGCCCUCGUUCUUUUUUUUUUUUUCAGGAAAGCGGAUCCCCCAUAUGUACACCAAUAAAAGUGAGUGACUUAGGAGGAGUGUCUAUCAUAGAGUGGAGGCAAACCUGAGACAGAUAGAGAGAUAGUGAGGGUGUGAGAGCUCACUAAUAGGCCCUCGACAAGAUGCCAGCCCGUUUUUCACAUCAUGUCAUCUGUAAGGGUUGAAAUAAAAGUAAUGGCCAGAUCCCUCUCUGCCAUUACAGCUCCGGCAGUUCAGCAUUUAUUUGUGUUGACUGGUGCGGGCUUGGCGGCGUGACAGAAUCAUAGAUCCGAGAUCAGACACCGCCAUGAUGUUCAGCGCUGUUCAGGCACUGACAGGUCCCCCGCUCGCCUCCUCAUCUCAUAGCGGGAGCGUUAGCGGCUAACGCUGCGUCAUAUCAAAUGCAGCCAUCUGACACGAUAACGGAUCUGGCACACCGCAGACGUGACCCAGUCUGUCUUUUGUAAUCGGCUGACAGAUAGAAGCUCUGAAAUAAGAAGGCUUCUUCAGUUUCAUGUAGUAAAAAUUAGUGUCAGUCAAAGUUAAGUGCCUGUUUUUGACCAGAGAGAGGAAAGAUGAGGGAGUUUACUGUCAGUGUUAUUCACGUACCAGGCUAGUAAACUAAGUGGAAAUGAUUUAUAAGGGGAAAAAAGGAUUUUAAAUUGGCCAUUUUAUUUUCUCGGAAGGCUCAGCCUUAAAUGUACUUUUCAGCUCUCAGUCUAUUUGCACUAUUGUUUAAGCUGCACUGCCUGAUAUGAAAGACUGUUUUGUCCACUUUUACUGGUGUAGCAAAAUAAUAAAAAUAGUACUUCUCAUGUGUAAGACUGUCACUGUUAAUAUUUGAUGUUCAAGCGUUUUAACUUCUUAGUACAGAGCCAAGCUACUGAUGAGUAUAUUGGGCUAGUAGCACCACCGGCAACACUAUUAGCUAACUUUACUAGCUGGUUUACUUUAACUACAGUAGCUACAUGUUCUAGCAGUAAUAUGGCAUGGAAGGCGUGGAAGCUUGAAAUGAGGGGAAUUGUCCUAUUGGCCGAGUAUUGUUGUAUAUUUGAAAUCCAUCCAUUGUGGUGGCUGCAUUUUGUCCGUAUGUUACAAAUAAGACAAAUGACUCGAGGAGACUACUGACUGCUAACAAGACCAAGUGGAUUAUGAGAACAAGUUGCUUGAUUAGAUACAGUAUUAGUAGUAUUUACUGUAUAUCACAGCGUUAAAUUAUUUGAUCGGUCAGAAGGUGUUGAUAUAUAUAUAUAUAUACAUAUAUAAAAAUAUAUAACAGCAGCUCUGACAGUAGUUCC
ensembl:lncRNA